CGGAGAUGAGGAAUCUUACCAGAAGGUCAUAGCCUCAGGGAAAGUGGUUUGUCUGCCUGACUCACCAGUGCAAAACAUUGAAUGCAAAGCAGAGAGAUUCCCCAAUACCCCAUGGCAGGAAUUGGGCCAGACAAUCACUUGUGACAAGAAUAAAGGACUGAAAUGUGUAAAUGAGGAUCAAGGAGGACUGCCAUGUUACAACUACAAGGUCAGAUUCUGCUGCUCCAGAGCAGGUGGACCUCCUGCACCAAGUCCAUCUUCACGAAGCCAAGAACCAACUGCAUCGAAGGACAAGACACCCCCACCUCCAACCACCGGCAACAAGGAGCCAGAACCCUCACCCCCAGAAGGGCCAGUGACUCCCAAACCCCCGGUUGAGGAAAAGCCAACAAAGCCAGCUCCAGAAGAGAGUGGCGCUCCUCCUCAAGAACCAACUGGACCGAAGGACAAGACACCCCCACCUCCAACCUCCGGCAAUAAGGAGCCAGAACCAUCACCCCCAGAAGGGCCAGGUGUGAUACAUUUUACGAGAUUAUAUAUACAGGAAGUAUACUGCUUAUGAUCAAAUCAAACAACGGGACUUAAUUUGUUAGAUCUCAGAAACUACUUAUGACUUGCUUAUGGAUAGGUGUUGGAUAGGUGACAAUCUGUGUAACAGAUGUCAUAGGCUGAAUAUUUACAAUAUAGACUUCACAGAGCAGAAUGCCACACCUCUUAAUUGUGAUGUACUUCCAUGCUCCCUCAUCGGACGUUUAAUAAACCCCACUGAAGAGCAUG